GACGAACGCUGGCGGCGUGCCUAAUACAUGCAAGUCGAACGCAGGGGGGACGGGUGAGUAACACGUGGGUAACCUCCCAUCAGAGGGGAUAACACUUGGAUAAAGGUGCUAAACCGAUACUGAUGGAUGGACCCGCGGUGCAUUAGCUAGUUGGUGAGGUAACGGCUCACCAAGGCGACGAUGCAUAGCAGACCUGAGCGGGUGAUCGGCAACACUGGGACUGAGACACGGCCCAGACUCCUACGGGAGGCAGCAGUAGGGAAUCUUCGGCAAUGGACGAAAGUCUGACAGAGCAACGCCGCGUGAGUGAAGAAGGUUUUCGGAUCGUAAAACUCUGUUGUUAGAGAAGCGGUAUCUAACCAGAAAGCAACGGCUAACUACGUGCCAGCAGCCGCGGUAAUAC
rnacentral:rRNA from 1 species